UACCCGCGGCCCCGAGUGGUGCUCAUUAUUAUUGAGUCUAAAACGUCCGUAGCCGGUCGGGUAGAUUCCUGGGUAAAUCGAACCGCUCAACGGUUCGAAUUCCGGGAAGACCGUCCGACUUGGGACCGGGAGAGGCGCGAGGUACUCCUGGGGUAGGGGUAAAAUCCUGUAAUCCUGGGAGGACCACCAGUGGCGAAGGCGUCGCGCUAGAACGGAUCCGACGGUCAGGGACGAAGCCCAGGGGCGCAAACGGGAUUAGAACCU
rnacentral:rRNA from 1 species